UGGCAAGGAAACAUAUGUGGGGUGAGGUGUAUGAGCCUCUGGUCGACGAUCAAUGGCCACACAACCCUAAUUUUUGUCGAAAAUAGCCAUGAACGACCAUUUUCAAUGACACUGAAGGCUAACACCUACGGAUUUUUGACCAAGAAAUGGUCUCCACCAUAAAUCCAAGAAUGUGAUCUAUGGCAAGGAAACAUAUGUGUAGUGAGGUGUAUGAGCCUCUGGUCGAAGAUCAAUGGCCACACAACCCCCAUUUUUGUCGAAAAUAGCCAUGAAUGACCAUUUUCAAAAAUACCAAAGGCUAACACAUUCGAUUUUUGCCCAAGAAAUGGUCUCCACCAGAAAUCCAAGAAUGUGAUCUAUGGCAAGGAAACAUAUGUGGGGUGAGGUGUACGAGCCUCUGGUCGAUGAUCAAUGGCCACAGAACCCCCAUUUUGCCGAAAAUAGCCAUGAACGACCAUUUUCAAUAAUACCGAAGGCUAACACGUACGAGUUUUUGACCAAGAAAUGGUCUCCACCAAAAAUCCAAGAAUGUGAUCUAUGGCAAGGAAACAUAUGUGGGGUGAGAUUUAUGAGCCUCUAGUCGAUGAUAAAUGGCCACACAACCCCCAUUUUUUUAUGAAAAUAGCCAUGAGCGACCAUUUUCAAUAAUAUUAGAGGCUAAGACCUACGGAUUUUUGACCAAGAAAUGGUCUCCACCAGAAAUCCAAGAAUGUGAUCUAUGGCAAGGAAACAUAUGUGGGGUGAGGUGUAUGAGCCUCUGGUCGAUGAUCAAUGGCCACACAACCCCCAUUUUUGUCGAAAAUAGCCAUGAAUGACCAUUUACAAUAAUACCGAAGGCUAACACCUACGGAUUUUUUACCAAGAAAUGGUCUCCACCAGAAAUCCAAGAAUGUGAUCUAUGGCAAGGAAACAUAUGUGGGGUGAGGUGUAUGAGCCUCUGGUCG
rnacentral:lncRNA from 1 species